UACGGGGGGGGCAAGCGUUGUUCGGAAUUACUGGGCGUAAAGGGUUCGUAGGUGGCCAACUAAGUCAGACGUGAAAUCCCUCAGCUUAACUGGGGAACUGCGUCUGAGACUGGAUGGCUCGAGUGCAGGAGAGGAACGCGGAAUUCCAGGUGUAGCGGUGAAAUGCGUAGAUAUCUGGAGGAACACCGGUGGCGAAGGCGGCGUUCUGGACUGCAACUGACACUGAGGAACGAAAGCCAGGGGGGCAAACGGG
rnacentral:rRNA from 1 species